AGUGAAAAUCAUAAAGUUUUUUAUCUGCUUUCAUCAUGUAUUUCUUAUCUUACAAGAUUCUGGGCCUUUGAGCAUACUCUUAAAUUCAACUAUGAGACAAA